UACGUAGGGUCCGAGCGUUGUCCGGAAUUAUUGGGCGUAAAGGGCUCGUAGGCGGUUUGUCGCGUCGGGAGUGAAACACCGGGCUUAACUCGGUGCUUGCUUUCGAUACGGGCAGACUGGAGUUCGGCAGGGGAGACUGGAAUUCCUGGUGUAGCGGUGAAAUGCGCAGAUAUCAGGAGGAACACCGGUGGCGAAGGCGGGUCUCUGGGCCGAUACUGACGCUGAGGAGCGAAAGCAUGGGGGAGCGAACAGG
rnacentral:rRNA from 1 species